AGAGACAGAGCAGCAAGUCUUGGUAGAGGGAGUAGUUGGCGCUGGCAAGGGAAAGACUUCCUCCAGCGACUUUGUAGAGAUGAAGAAAACGACGGUGAAAAAAGAAAAGUCGAAGGAAGAAGGAGAAGAGGGUGGCGAGGAUGACAGUGACGGUCACAGAGAAGGAAGCUAAGUUUACAGAGAAAAGAAGAGGAAUGAGGCGACGGCGGUGAUAGAGUCCACGGUCGCUGUUCGAUCCGUAGAGCUACGUCCUCCGUGGGACGGUGUCGCAGCUAUUUUUUUGCCGGUGGAUGUUGCGAAUGAAGAAUGAAGAGAGAUUACGAGAUGUCGACGUCGGCAAUGGUGGAGCUAGCCUCCUAUCCUCGCCAAUGACACCUAUGAAAUGAUGCAACAAAGGAGUGGAGCAAAAGAGACAAGCUUUUGGUGGUUUAAAGUCACUAUCUCAAAGCAUAAGAAGUGGCCAAGAAAAAAACAAUCAUUUUGGGACUAGAAUCUUAGCAGCAAAUUGAUGACACCGGUGAUGAAAACUGAGAGCUUUGAUAUCCUAUCUUGGGCGGUAUUACAGAGUGGUAGCAGGUAAUUAGGAGCUAAAAUCAUGUUUAGGAAAUUCACUAAAUUUUGCUGUUGUCAGUGAAUAUAGUUGUGAAUGAACUAGACAAGACCUUGCAACACCAAAGAAAAAGCCACUUUCUGAAGGAAGAAGAAAAUUGUGCUUGGGAGUUUAAUGAAAGCGUGGUGAGGCCUGGUGGUGAUGAUCAGUAUCUUAAGGUGGGAUGUCAAGGUUUUGGGACUUAGUUUGGAGUUGGAGAGAAAGGGGAAGAAAAUGGGCAGCUCACCAAGGAGGUAUUUUAUUUUAUUUUAUUUGAAUACAAAUAAAAUAUUUGUGAAUAUAGGUAGGUAAUCAGAAGUUCUAUAAUUUCAAUGGAAUGAUAACUGGAAUUCAAAAUGAAUUGAAAUGUUCAAUGAAUAUUGGUAUUGUUUUUUUGUCUUGCUGAAGUUGGAUACUAACAUUUUUUUUGUUUUCUAUGGAGAGUAAUGGGGCAUUUUCUACUGACAUGAAACUUCUUCAUCCUUUUGGCCUUAAUGCUUAUGUUGUCUAGAUUUAACUUUUGAAAUUUGAAAUUAGCUGAGCGUAAAAUUUCUCAAAAGAGCUUUUGAAUAUAUCAUUUGAAAAUUCUCCAUGCUCUCAUUCCUUCAUUUUGUUUCUCUCAUUCCACCGGGUGCUUCUACGUGAUGAAGGUGGUGGACACGGAUGCGGUGCAAUGAAACUAAAGUAUAUAUAUUCUAAGUAUAUGAGUUGGGCCCAGUUGUUGCUAUGCUGUGUCGGAUAGGGCAUCCUCCUAGCUCGAAGAGGAAGCCAAGUCAUCCUCCAAAGGCUGCUCCUGCUGGCGAUCCGGCUGCUGUUGCUGUGGUGGCAGCUGAAGCUUCAAGUGGCGACUCCUGUUCAUUGCUGUCUCUGAUCCUGCCACUGCCGUGACUGCAUUGUGGCCGGCACCCAUGGUUGUGCCUGCUAUUCAUCCAACCAGGUCAGUCACGUAAGCUAUGAAGUUUUUGAUAUAUAUUUGAGUUGGUUUUGUUUCCCAUUUUGUCCUUUAUUCUUUGUUAAUCUAGAAGUUGUUGCAUUGGCGUUUGUUUCUUCUUGGUUUUUUAAAAUUUAAACAUGAUUUUUCAUUUGUUCAAAUUUCUGAUUUAAUAUAUGUGUUGAUAAUUUGUGUUUCAUUAGUUUUGAAUUAGGGUAAGGUCGUGUAUUCUUUAUUUCGAUUUGAAGAAAAGGAUUUGACUUUGGAAAUUUUCUGUGGUGAUUUGUUGGGCUUCUUUGAUUUGAUUUAUGCCUUUGUUUGCUCUAAUUUUAUAUUAUAGUUUGUUUCUUUCUUACAUAUGUUGUGUGUCUUCUCAUACAAUUUUGAUGAAC